UACGAAGGGGGCUAGCGUUGUUCGGAAUUACGUGGGCGAUAAGCGCGCGCAGGCGGCUAUCCAAGUCAGUGGUGAAAGCCCGGAGCUCAACUCCGGAACUGCCAUUGAAACUGUUUAGCUUGAGGACGAGAGAGGUGAGUGGAAUUCCCAGUGUAGAGGUGAAAUUCGUAGAUAUUGGGAAGAACACCGGUGGCGAAGGCGGCUCACUGGCUCGUAUCUGACGCUCAGGCGCGACAGCGUGGGGAUCAAACAGG
rnacentral:rRNA from 1 species